GAUGAACGCUGGCGGCGUGCCUAACACAUGCAAGUCGAGCGAACAGAUGAGGAGUUUGCUCCUCUGACGUUAGAGGCGGACGGGAGAGUCACACGUGGAUAACCUACCUAUAAGACAGGGAUAACUAUGGGAAACCGGAGCUAAGAGCGGAUAAUAUAUUGAACCGCAAGGUUCAACAGUGAAAGACGGUUUUGCUGUCACUUAUAGAUGGAUCCGCGCCGCAUUAGCUAGUGGGUACGGUAACGGCUUACCAAGGCAACGAUGCGUAGCCGACCUCAGAGCGACGUUCGCCAGACUGGCUCUGAGGCUCGUUCGCGACUCUUGCGGGGGGCAGCAGUAGGGAAUCCUCCGCGAUGGGGGAGUGCCUGACGUAGCGCCGCCGCGUGAAUCCUGAAGGUCUUCGGCUCGUAGAACUCUGUUAUUAUGAAAGUUCAAAUGUGUAAGUAACUGUGCACGUCUUGACGGUACCUGGUCAGAAAGCCCCGGCUAACUACGUG
rnacentral:rRNA from 1 species